GCACACUGCGGCCCUGAGAGCAGAGGCUGCAGCUAGGAAGGAUGGUACUGAGGGCGACUGGUCUUCCCUGGGCUCUUAUGCCAGGAAGUGAAGCUGGGUCUGGCUCCACCACAGCUUCUGUAAAGUUUAACAGAACUUUACAUGGUUUUAUUUAUAUAUUGCUGUUAUCGAAACCAAAGGCUGGGGUGGAGCCAAGUACCUGAAGGCCACCUACCCCUGCAUGUGCCGCAUUUGUGCAGAAGCCCUUCUUUUCAGGGACAGAGUAUAAGAUUUGAUUUCAUGGAGAGAGUUUAGCAACAAAACCCAACAGCUGGGAGGGAACUGGAAUUGCCGUGUCUGCUCUAAGGCUGCACAGCCCAAGGUUCUGCUGAGGCUCUGUGUUCCCAGCUCUCCCAAAUCUGUCUCCUGAGAUGCCAAGUUUUGGGGGUACUUGGCAUGCAGGUUGAUGGGGUCGAGGGGCAGUGGUGCGUGGUACUCUCCCACAUGCCUAUGUCUGCAAAUACACCUGGGAGCUCAUCGGCCCCACCCUCAUCCCUGGGCACACUGAGCCAGGGCAUUCCAGGCACAGACUGCAGCCCACUCUUGUUUUGAGGACAGGGUAUAUAAAAUAGCCAAAAUAAUCUUGAAAUAGAAAAACAAAGGUAAUAGUCAUACACUUCUGACUUUAGAGCUUAUUGCACAGCUGCAGUGACAAGGACAGGGUGUCAAGCACAGGCUGAGAAGACAGCCCACAGGUAGACCCAAGGGUACUGAGAAGUCUUGAGACUUGGGAAGUCUUGAGACAAAUGCCAGGGCGGCUAGAUUUCCACUUUUUAUUUUAACAGAAUUUUACAUGGUUUUAUUUAUACAUUGCCGUUAUCGAAACCAAAAAUUUGGCACCCGUAGCUCAGUGGGUAGGGCAUCGGCCACAUACACUAAGGCUGGCGGGUUCAAACCCCGCCUGGGCCAGCUAAAACAACAAUGACAGAUGCAACAACAACAACAACAAAAUGGUCAGGUGUUGUGGCGGGCGCCUGUAGUCCCAGCUACUUGGGAGGCUGAGGCAAAAGAAUCACCUAAGCCCAGGAGUUUGAGGUUGCUGUGAGCUGUGACACUACCACACUCUACCAAGGGCAACAAAAUGAGACUCUGUCUCAAAAAUAAAGAAAGAAGAAAAGCUAAAACUAAACUCUUAGAAGACAAUAUAGGAGUACAUUUCAUGACCUUAGGGUUAGGCAAUGUUUUCUUAAAUAUGUUGCCCAAAGCACAAGUGACCAAAAAAAAAGUCAUUACCCAGGACACCGUCAGAACAUAAACUUUAUGCUGCAAACAAAACUAUCCAGAAAGUGGAAAGACAGCAGCAUGGGAGGAGAUGCUUACAAAUCACAGAGCAAAUUAGAAUUCUUCUAACUUGAUAAUAAAAGGACAGCCUGAUUUUAAAAUGGGCAAAGGAUCUAAGUAGACAUUUUUCCAAAGAAGACGUACACAUGGAUAGAAGCUCAGCAUCAUUAGCCAUCAGGGCUGCGAACCAAACACGCUGAGAUGCCAAUUGACACCACCACACUGGCCCCGAUCAAAAAGGUAAUGAUAGGUGUUGACAAGGAUAUGGAGCUUUUUUCUUCCUUGAAUGUACUUUUUAUGACAACCUAUUUUUAUUGUUUAAGUGUAAGGUAUAUUCUCAUUUUUCCGAGGAUAGUCAUGAUACAUUUUUGAAAUUUUCUUCUCCCGAGACCUCGCUGUUUCAGCUUUUGGGGCACGUUCCAUUCCUUUAGCCUGCGACCAGCAGAGAGAAAAAGAACAUUUUUUAAAAUCUGUCCCGUAAACACCUCGAGGCGAGCAAAAACAAUAAAUUUUAACUUUGAGGGCGGCGUCUAUGGCUCAAGGAGUAGGGCGCCGGUCCCAUAUGCCAGAGGUGGCAGGUUCAAACCCAGCCCCGGCCAAAAAUAGAAAAACCACACACACACACACAAAAAAAAUUUUUAACUUUGAGGGAAAUCGUGCACGUCGAGGCGGGUCAGUGUGGCAACCAAAUCGGUGCCAAGUUCUGGGAGGUGAUCAGCGAUGAACAUGGCAUCGACCCCACCGGUACCUACCACAGGGACAGCGGUCUGCAGCUAGACCGAAUCUCUGUGUACUGCAAUGAAGCCACAGGUGGCAAAUACGUUCCUCGUGCUAUCCUGGUGGAUCUAGAACCAGGGACCAUGGACUCUGUUCGCUCAGGUCCUUUUGGCCAAAUCUCCAGACCAGACAACUUUGUUUUUGGUCAGUCUAGGGCAGGCAACAACUGGGCCAAGGGCCACUCUGGAGAAGGGGCUGAGCUGGUUGAUUCAGUCCUGGAUGUGGUACGGAAGGAGGCAGAGAGCUGUGACUGCCUGCAGGGCUUCCAGCUGACCCACUCGCUGGGUGGGGGCACAGGUUCUGGAAUGGGCACACUCCUUAUCAGCAGGAUCCGAGAAGAGUAUCCUGAGCGCAUCAUGAAUACCUUCAGUGUGGGGCCUUCACCCAAAGUGUCUGAUGCCGUGGUUGAGCCCUGUAAUGCCACCCUUUCUGUCCAUCAGUUGGUAGAGAACACUGAUGAGACAUACUGCAUUGACAACGAGGCCCUUUACGAUAUCUGCUUCCGUACCCUAAAGCUGACCACGCCAACUUAUGGGGACCUGAACCACCUUGUCUCAGCCCCCAUGAGUGGUGUCACCACCUGCCUCCGUUUCCCUGGCCAGCUCAACGCUGACCUCCGCAAGCUGGCAGUCAACAUGGUGCCCUUCCCACGUCUCCACUUCUUCAUGCCUGGCUUUGCCCCUCUCAGCCGUGGAAGCCAGCAGUAUCGGGCUCUCACUGUGCCACAACUCACCCAGCAGGUCUUUGAUGCCACGAACAUGAUGGCUGCCUGUGACCCCCACCAUGGCCGAUACCUCACUGUGGCUGCUGUCUUCCGUGGACGGAUGUCCAUGAAGGAGGUAGAUGAGCAGAUGCUCAAUGUGCAGAACAUGAAUAGCAGCUACUUCGUCGAAUGGAUCCCCAACAAUGUCAAGACAGCUCUACGACAUCCCACCUCGUGGCCUCAAGAUGGCAGUCACCUUCAUUGGCAACAGCACAGCCAUCCAGGAGCUCUUCAAGCGCAUCUCAGAGCAGUUCACUGCCAUGUUCUGUCAGAAGGCCUUCCUCCACUGGUAUACAGGCGAGGGCAUGGACGAGAUGGAAUUCACCAAGGCUGAGAGCAACAUGAACGACCUCGUCUCUGAGUAUCAGCAGUACCAGGAUGCUACCAUGGAAGAGGAGGAGGAUUUUGGUGAAGAGGCUGAAGAGGAGGCCUAAGGCACAGCCCCCAUCACCUCAAGCUUCUCAGUCCCCUUAACCUUCUUCCUCAACUACCCCUUUCCUCUCCCUCAGAAUUCGUGUUUGCUGCCUUUUAUCUUUUUUUUCUUUUGGCGGGGGUGGGCCUAGAACAGGGCCUGGCACAUGUAGAUGCUCAAUAAAUACUUGUUUGUUGAAAAAAAAGAAAGAAAGAAAUGUUCUUCUCCCUAUGUGGACUUGUUUUAUCCAGGUUGCUCUGGCAGCCCACCACCCGUGCUAGGUGAGUGCACCUGUGACAGCCCAGGUGGGCCUGGGCAGCCAUGUGCUUCGCUGUGGGCUGAUGGCUGUGGGCUGUCCUUCAGGGACCCAAUCUUUGGGUCUUUUCUCAUGUAUUCUUCAGAUUUUGAAGUAGAAUAAAUACUUUUGCUGCAGGGCACAGGUAUGGCUGUGAACCUGCCAGGAGCCAGCAGGGAAAGGGUUGGAGACGACUCAGUGCCAGCAUGUUGCCUCUCUUGGUGCCUGGACUCCUGGGCUGGGCUGGACAAGCCCCUCAGCCUGACUGCAGUGGCUAGGAGUCAGUAGCACUAUUUUGCUCAUGCUGGGAUAAGAGAGCUAAAUACCAGCAUUAUUUUUUAAAUGGAGAUCUAAUUCACAUACUGUGUAAAGUUUUUAAUUUUGAUGAAGUCCAGCUUAUUUAUUUUUUCUUUUGUUGCUUGUGCUUUUGGUGUCAUGUCUAAGAAACCACUGCCUGACUCAGGGCCAUGAAGACUCAUGUCUGUACUUUCUUCUUGGAGUUUUACACUUUUAGCUCUUUCAUUUACAUCUCUGAUCCAUCUUGAGUCACUUUGUGUGCAAGGCAAGUGCGUGUCCAGUUGUCCCAGCACCAGCUGAAGAAACUCCUUUCCCCACGGGUGGUCUCAGACCUGGUUGGGAGCCAGUUGUCCGCACGUGGCAUAGGGGCUGACUUCUGGGCUCUGUUCUAUUCCACUCUUCUGCAUUCUGCCCUUGCACCCAUGUCAUGUUGUCCUGGUCACCUUAGCUUUGUGGUAGGUUCUGAAGUUAAGACCUGAGAGUUGCUGACUGCUUUUUAAAUGGCUUUUUAUAUGACUUUUAGCCGCUUCUCCUAUCUUCGGCUCCAUCUUUACUCCCAUUCCUAGAAGUAACUGGCACAGCCAAUUCUAGAGUCUUCAAGUAAGGGCGAGGAGUAGGCAAUGUUUCUUAGUUUUCAGUUUUCACAGCUCACCACAUUGGUGGCCUAAGCAUCACCUCUCAGAUCUACUCAGUCAGUAUCUUUCCUCUCUUCUGCGUCCCAGCCCCCCUGAUGUUGCCACUGUUAUCUGGCCACACAUUAUUUGUCCUCACAGAUGUACCUCUGUAAACUCAUACCUGUUCAGUGUUGGUCCAGAGGCAUCAGGUGCCAGCCUUGUUAACAUGAGUGAGCACCUGAGAUCUGUGAAGGAGAAGGACAUGGCCAAGGCACUGGGAAGGGGUAUCCCAGCAGGCUGGUCUCUGUCCUGCCAUCCCCAACCUGUUGUCCUUGGCAGUGGGAGCAGUGUGGCGUGCCGCCCUUUGUAGACAGCUCUGUCCAGGCCCCUGUGAGGCCUGACAUAGUGCUGCCACCUGCCACCCACACUCCUCCAGCCCCUAUCCAUCCCCCUGGCUGGUCCCUUUAUGGGUAUAGGGGCAAAACCUAGCUUCCCUACCGGGUGCCUUGGGGCCUGUGCUGCCUGAGUCUCUCACUGACUCUGGUCUUUUCCUC